rnacentral:rRNA from 1 species
AGUGAACGCUGGCGGUAGGCCUAACACAUGCAAGUCGAACGGCAGCACAGGAGAGCUUGCUCUCUGGGUGGCGAGUGGCGGACGGGUGAGGAAUACAUCGGAAUCUACUCUGUCGUGGGGGAUAACGUAGGGAAACUUACGCUAAUACCGCAUACGACCUACGGGUGAAAGCAGGGGACCUUCGGGCCUUGCGCGAUUGAAUGAGCCGAUGUCGGAUUAGCUAGUUGGCGGGGCAAAGGCCCACCAAGGCGACGAUCCGUAGCUGUGCUGAAAGGAUGAUCAGCCACACGGGAACUGAGACACGGUCCAGACUCCUACGUGAGGCGGCUGUGGGGAAUAUUGGACAAUGGGCGCAAGCCUGAUCCAGCCAUACCGCGUGGGUGAAGAAGGCCUUCGGGUUGUAAAGCCCUUUUGUUGGGAAAGAAAUCCAGCUGGCUAAUACCCGGUUGGGAUGACGGUACCCAAAGAAUAAGCACCGGCUAACUUCGUGCCAGCAGCCGCCGUAA